rnacentral:rRNA from 1 species
CUGGAGGUAUCAGAAGUGCGAAUGCUGACAUAAGUAACGAUAAAGCGGGUGAAAAGCCCGCUCGCCGGAAGACCAAGGGUUCCUGUCCAACGUUAAUCGGGGCAGGGUGAGUCGACCCCUAAGGCGAGGCCGAAAGGCGUAGUCGAUGGGAAACAGGUUAAUAUUCCUGUACUUGGUGUUACUGCGAAGGGGGGACGGAGAAGGCUAUGUUGGCCGGGCGACGGUUGUCCCGGUUUAAGCGUGUAGGCUGGUUUUCCAGGCAAAUCCGGAAAAUCAAGGCUGAGGCGUGAUGACGAGGCACUACGGUGCUGAAGCAACAAAUGCCCUGCUUCCAGGAAAAGCCUCUAAGCAUCAGGUAACAUCAAAUCGUACCCCAAACCGACACAGGUGGUCAGGUAGAGAAUACCAAGGCGCUUGAGAGAACUCGGGUGAAGGAACUAGGCAAAAUGGUGCCGUAACUUCGGGAGAAGGCACGCUGAUAUGUAGGUGAAGUCCCUUGCGGAUGGAGCUGAAAUCAGUCGAAGAUACCAGCUGGCUGCAACUGUUUAUUAAAAACACAGCACUGUGCAAACACGAAAGUGGACGU